UCGGGAAUUUUGGGCAAUGGGGGAAACCCUGACCCAGCAACGCCGCGUGAAGGAUGAAGUAUUUCGGUAUGUAAACUUCGAAAGAAUAGGAAGAAUUAAUGACGGUACUAUUUAUAAGGUCCGGCUAACUACGUGCCAGCAGCCGCGGUAAUACGUAGGGACCAAGCGUUGUUCGGAUUUACUGGGCGUAAAGGGCGCGUAGGCGGCGCGGUAAGUCACUUGUGAAAUCUCUGAGCUUAACUCAGAACGGCCAAGUGAUACUGCAGUGCUAGAGUGUGGAAGGGGCAAUCGGAAUUCUUGGUGUAGCGGUGAAAUGCGUAGAUAUCAAGAGGAACACCUGAGGUGAAGACGGGUUGCUGGGCCAACACUGACGCUGAGGCGCGAAAGCCAGGGGAGCAAACGGG
rnacentral:rRNA from 2 species